UACGGAGGGUGCAAGCGUUGUUCGGAAUUACUGGGCGUAAAGCGUGCGUAGACGGUUAUUUAAGUCGGGUGUGAAAGCCCCGGGCUCAACCUGGGAAUUGCAUUCGAGACUGAAUAGCUAGGGUACGGUAGAGGGAAGUGGAAUUUCCGGUGUAGCGGUGAAAUGCGUAGAUAUCGGAAGGAACAUCAGUGGCGAAAGCGACUUCCUGGACCAGUACCGACGUUCAGGCACGAAAGCGUGGGGAGCAAACAGG
rnacentral:rRNA from 1 species